rnacentral:rRNA from 3 species
UACGGAGGGAGCUAGCGUUGUUCGGAAUUACUGGGCGUAAAGCGCACGUAGGCGGCCAUUCAAGUCAGAGGUGAAAGCCCGGGGCUCAACCCCGGAACUGCCUUUGAAACUAGAUGGCUUGAAUCUUGGAGAGGCGAGUGGAAUUCCGAGUGUAGAGGUGAAAUUCGUAGAUAUUCGGAAGAACACCAGUGGCGAAGGCGACUCGCUGGACAAGUAUUGACGCUGAGGUGCGAAAGCGUGGGGAGCAAACAGG